UACGUAGGGGGCAAGCGUUGUCCGGAAUUAUUGGGCGUAAAGCGCGUGUAGGCGGCUCGAUAAGUCUGCUGUGAAAGUCCAGGGCUCAACCCUGGAAUGCCGGUGGAUACUGUCGAGCUCGAGUCCGGAAGAGGCGAGUGGAAUUCCUGGUGUAGCGGUGAAAUGCGCAGAUAUCAGGAGGAACACCAAUGGCGAAGGCAGCUCGCUGGGACGGUACUGACGCUGAGACGCGAAAGCGUGGGGAGCAAACAGG
rnacentral:rRNA from 1 species